rnacentral:rRNA from 1 species
GGAGGCUCGUAUGAAAGGUUGGACGAGAAAUAUACUGUUUCAAAUAAAAAAUUUGAAUUUAACUUUUAAGUGAAAAGGCUUAAAUAAAUUAAAAAGACGAUAAGACCCUAUAAAUCUUAACGGUAGAGUCAAUGUUUUUUGAUUUGUUAGUUUAAAAAAAUACUUAGAUUAUACGUUUGGUUGGGGCGACAUAAAUAUAAAAUAAUUAACUGUUUGAAUGUAUAAACAAUGAUUGUUGAGAAGAAUGAUCCUAAUAUAUAGAUUAAAAGACCAAGUUACUUUAGGGAUAACAGCGUUAUUCUUUUUGAGAGUUCUUAUUAAAAAAAGAGUUUGCGACCCCUAUGUUGAAUUAAAAAUUCUUUAUGGUGCAGCAGCUAUAAAAGAAAGUCUCAGUUCGACUUUUAAAUUUUUACAUGAUUU